UACGUAGGGUGCGAGCGUUGUCCGGAAUUAUUGGGCGUAAAGAGCUCGUAGGCGGUCCGUCGCGUCGGUCGUGAAAACUUGGGGCUUAACCCUGAGCUUGCGGUCGAUACGGGCAUGACUGGAGUUCGGCAGGGGAGACUGGAAUUCCUGGUGUAGCGGUGAAAUGCGCAGAUAUCAGGAGGAACACCGGUGGCGAAGGCGGUGUGCUGGGCCGUAGCUGACGCUGAUGCGCGACAGCGUGGGGAGCAAACGGG
rnacentral:rRNA from 1 species